GGACAACUCGGCGACCUUGCAAUUCCACAGCUCAAGACACGGGGGCCCUCUGCGGUCUGAUGGCUCCAAAUUGGUUGUCAGGGUUUCAUUGAAAAGUAUGAGAUCUUGAAAUCUCAGAGCUGUUUUACGAUGUUUCAUUCAGAACCAAGACAAGCGGCUGGCAACAGUCUCCGGCUUUCUGCCCGCUCCCCUCUCCUUCCAAAUCCUGCCCAAGGCUUCACCCGAAGCCGCUGCUGCAGCACCUAAUCCACAGCCUCACUUCCCCCAUUCGAUUCCCAGUUCACCAUCUGCCCCACCCAAGCGGGUCCAACCAGCUGUGAGUCUCGAUUUUUGUUGCUCCAGUCUGACUCCACGAUGAUACCCCUUCUAAGCCUUUAGAAACCACAUACGCACCCCUGGUGUGAACAAGAGUAGAAACUCCGAUGAAUUCUGAACCCCAGAAUAUAUACAUAUUAAUUCAUUAGGUCGGGAUACCGAUCCAAGAGUUUAACUCGGAAGGAUUGCAGCAGCAGCAGCAGCAAACAAUAACAACAAAACUUUAAAAAAACAAAAAAAGCCAGGGGGGCGGGGCGGAGGUAGAAGGUCGGGUGGAGAGAUAGCUCGGCGGUUAACAGCACCAGCUGUUCCUCCUGAGGACCCAGGUUCGAUUCCCAGCACCUACAUGGCAGCUCCGUGCCUGCCACCUAGUUUCAUGGAAGCCAACUCUCACACACAUAGUUGCAGGCGAAAUACCAGUGCAUAUAAAAUAAAAAUAAACAAAUCAUUAAAACUUUACAAAAGAAAAAUCCAACCCAAAAGUUACCACAGCAGUUUUGAUGGGGCAGAAAAAGACAGUUCAGUGUUUUCUCGGGUGAAAAUAACUAACUUUCUAGCAGUCUGAAACUCUAGUAAUAGAAUGUAUCUCUUGUGUACCUCAUUUUAGUUUCAAAUGGAGGAGGAUAAAUGGUGAAUCUCAGAUCGGUGUUUCUUAAACAAGUGUAGUUUUAGAAUUCUCUGUAAAGUGUGAAGGACUCAGGAGAACCAAUAGACAGAGUAGUGAUGGGGGAGGGUUUCAGUUUUGCUCAAUUUUCUGGAAAACUAUUCAAAAUUCAGAAAUGAAGACGAUCCCAGUAUUCUCUUUAACAGGCACCAAAGACCACACGAAUCUAAAGACCCCACCACCCCCAUAGCUCUUCCACCACCCCCAGAGCUCUCUAUUUUUUUCUUCCCAGAACCUAUGGAUACAAUUGUCUAGGGGCACAGUCCACUUUGGGAGGAGGGGGUGAGGGAGAAGUGAGACCUGCUCAGCAGGAAGGGUUCAGACUCUCCACUUCUGCAACCUGGGAGGACGGAGAUCCUACAACUGGGAGGAGGUGAGUAUGAAGCUGGUAUCAGCAGAACCCAGACUAGUCUUUUCUAUUCUGGGACAGAGUGGAGAGUGGGUUUGGCUGAGUAGUACAUAGGAACAUGAUAACAUAGAGCCACAGAGAACCAGAGCAGGCUCCUUGGGGCAGGAAGCUGCAGCCAUGCAAGAGAUUCACAAGCUCACAGCAAACAACAGCAACUCUAGAAGUGGAGGCUGAUUUGUGCUUAUCCCAUUUGGGGGCCAAAGGUAUCAGGAUUAGGAUUUCUAGGCCAAGUCUUUAGAUGUAGGUAGACCUUGCGGGAGGAAAACUUGGCCUGCCUUCCCCCAGGAGUCCCAGGGACCACCUGCAGGCACAGAUAUCUUUAUUCUUGUAGUUAGAUGUGACUUUAUUGUCACUUUUUCUCCCUGUCCCCUUUACUCUCCAUUCCAUCAUUUCCCUGCCUGUUUUGCUUGCUUGCUUCUUUAUCCAAUUGCAGACUCAGAGCUGCAGUCUUAUUUUGUAGGCAAUUCAGUGUCAUUUUCUUAAUGCCACCACUAAAAGGAAAAGCAGAUAAAGUGGAUGGGGUAAACUGUAAGGAAUAAAAGCCAGGAAGGUCUACCUGGGAGGGCACUGGGAAGUAAGAAGACCAAAGAGUGGCCAAGGUCUGCCUGUCAGGGGACAUGCAAGAAACAUGACAGGGAAAGCCUAGAGAACAGGCUAAUGAAAUCCCAAUAAUACCAGGAACGGGAGAGGGAGGAAAGUCCCACAGAAGGCAAGUCUAGGCUGUGCCCGAAUAACACCAAGUGGAGGUGGGGGCACAUCUGUCUGGAAUAGUCUGAGAGGAGAGGAGCAACUCUAGAAGAUACUGCCGGGGCUUGAGAAUAAGAAACAUCUUGGCAGGACAAAGCAAAGAACCCUAGUCUCAGCCGCAAGCCCACCCUUCUAGUCCAUCUUGCUAAUCCCACUUGACAACACUGGGCUCUGUCUCCCAAGGAGGUACAAAUUAGUGGUAACCUGGGAGCAAAGGAUGUAAUUGUGGGGAGAGAUGACAGUAGGUUCUUAAAU
rnacentral:lncRNA from 1 species